CGUCGGUCCGUCCGUCCGUCCCUCCGCCGCUCCCCGCCCUCCCGGCUUCACCGGCUCUGGCGGCCACGGGGCGAAGCGGCCGAGCCAGGCGCCGACGGACGGACGGACGGACGGACGGACGGACGCGCGGCCGGAUCCUCCGCCAGGUUUUCCCGCCGCCCUCGCGUCGCGUUGCGUCGGCCCCUCCAGUCUCGGCUUCCCGCCACUGGGGACUCCUCGUGGGGGGUGAGCUGAGCUGACUGAGGUCGGGGGCUGCGAGCGGCCUCUGAAGAAACUUCCGGAAGCGGCUGGGGGAGCGGGCUUCCACCUCCCACCCCGGCCCCGCUGCUGCGCGCGUAUCGUACCCCGCCGCUGACACGGGCCGGGCCGAGCCGAGCCGAGCCGGGUGACCCCGCCGCUGACACGGGCCGCUCCGAGCCGGGUGACCCCUCCGCUGACACGGGCCGCGCCGGUGUCCCAGGGUCCUGCAGCGGAGCCGAAGCGGCGUCAUCCCCCGACCCCCGGGUGUGCCUUGGAGACAGUUUUUUGUUAAGUUUGCCCAUUCCUUCUGCUUUGUACUGGAAGAACCCUGAAGCCUGCCCAAAGCAGAUUUAGCACUAGUCAAAUGGAGGAGCACUGAGUCAUUUGAACAGCCAUCGGAACGAUUAUUUCUAAGACUUGGGACAUGUGAGGACAUCCUGCCUCCUGACUUGUUAGGCUCUCCUUUACCAUGACAGUGACAGCACUCUCUGGUUGCUCUUUGCCGUGAUGUUCUGCCUUACCCUAGACAGCCCUAAAAAAAGCAGUGAAGCCAGAUUCCUACAGACUGAAACCAGGAGCAGAACCCAUAAAUUUGUACAAUUGGAAUAACAAUCAAAAGGGAAGAAAAUGAGUGAAGAAGCUACUAAGGACGACUGGCAGCUCCUGCCUCAGUGGGCAAUGCAAGCAGCAGAAGGAGCCUGGAAGACGGCUCCGCAG
rnacentral:lncRNA from 1 species